rnacentral:misc_RNA from 1 species
UCCUUCAAUUUAAGACAGUUGCUUAUAAUAAGCAUCGGCCCUAAUGAAAAGAUCCUAUUAUUUGGUUCCUUAUUCACCUAAUGAUAUCAUGGUUCUGUAAUAUUUCAUUACUUCUUGGAUUAUCCACUGCAUUUUGUUUUACCUUUUUGUUUGAUGUUGCAACAGAAAGCACUAGUUCGAAUAUUAAGGGAUCAAGUGACCCUUCACCUGAUGUUCACGCUGUGCAAAAGUUUAAAACAAGGAGUAGAGCUAGUGCUGCAGGUAGUAAUUCAAGUGAUCAGUCAGCUGAUAUUGACACGAAGAAAAAAAAUGGUAGAAAUACGGCUUCUCUCCAUCAACAUGGUAAGGCAGGUGGUGGCUCAUCACAACAUCCAUGCCACAAA